GACAGAGGGUGCAAACGUUGUUCGGAAUUAUUGGGCGUAAAGCGCGUGUAGGCGGCUUUGCAAGUCGGGUGUGAAAGCCCUCGGCUCAACCGAGGAAGUGCGCCCGAAACUGCAGAGCUUGAGUACCGGAGAGGAUGGCGGAAUUCCCCAAGUAGAGGUGAAGUUCGUAGAUAUGGGGAGGAACACCGGUGGCGAAGGCGGCCAUCUGGACGGAUACUGACGCUGAGACGCGAAAGCGUGGGUAGCAAACAGG
rnacentral:rRNA from 1 species